CCUAUAAUUAGAGAAAGGGAUCAACUUGAUUUUGAAGUUAACCUAUUGCAUUUAUAUGAAAAUUCAAAAGUGAGUACCAGCAUCUCUUAAAAUACAUUUUUUACAGGUUUAUUUUUAUUUAGAUAAAGUACCAUAUAAGAUAAAGUAUAUGAAACCUUAAAUCCAGUAUAAUAUUUAUAUACUAGACAUUACAUCAGUACAAUAAUGCAAAUCAGAAUAAGAAUGCAUAACAUUUGAACUGUUACACAUUAUUAGAUGACCAGUGUCAGCUUAAUUUAAGACAAAAAUAAAACACAGAUAACACACAUCCACAAAAAUUAAUGAGACAAUGUACUCCAAAUAUGCUAGAAGGGUUUUAAUCUCCCACUACAAAUGUAUAUGAAGUCCUGAAUGUGAAAUCCUUUAAAAAAUUAUAUUAAACUUCAAAUAUGUGUACUUGAAUAAUGUUAUAUACUAAAUACAUGAUAUACAUGAUAUACAUGUAUAUAAUAUUAAAAUUCAUCUUAUCUUAUAUAAUUAAUUUAAAACAUUUUCAAGCAAAAAACUGAUGUAUGAAUGUAUAGCUUGACUAUUCCUAUAAUAUUUUUCAGGUGACUGGGCUAAAAGAAAAACACAAAUGAAACUGUAACCAGUUUGGGACCCUCAAAGUGACCAACAGAACAUUUCAAUACCUUUUAGGUUUUUUAUGUAUAUGUUUGACUUUUAUGGAUAUUUCGGCAGUUACAUCAGUAAUUGAGAGACCUCAAUGUUGAAAAUGACAAUUUUGAUAGAGG
rnacentral:lncRNA from 1 species